rnacentral:rRNA from 1 species
AUUGAACGCUGGCGGCAGGCCUAACACAUGCAAGUCGAGCGAGCGGCGGACGGGUGAGUAAUGUAUGGGGACUGCCCGAUAGAGGGGGAUAACUACUGGAACCGGUAGCUAAUACCGCAUACUAUCGGAUAACCCAUAUGGGAUUAGCUAGUAGGUUAGGUAAUGGCUCCCCUAGGCGACGAUCCCUAGCUGGUCUGAGAGGAGGAUCAGCCACACGGGGACGAAGACACGGCCCAGACUCCGACGGAGGCAGCAGGGGGGAAGAUUGCACAAUGGGCGCAAGCCGGAUGCAGACAUGCCGCGUGUAUGAAGAAGGCCCUAGGGUUGUAAAGUACGUUCAGUCGGGAGGCGUUACCGACAGAAGAAGCACCGGCUAACUCCGUGCCAGGAGCCGCGGUAAUUC